AAGGAUCAUUAGUGAAUUUUAGGGUGCUCUUCUCCUUCUUAACAAAGGGAAGAGGCCUGACCUCCACUCUCCAACACUGUGCACUUAUUGGCAUUAGGAAUUUUCCCUUUACGGGGUUGAAUCCUUUUGCGGCUUCAUUUUUAACACUUGUCAAAGAAUGUAAACAAAACCAUAACAAAAAAAAACUUUCAACAACGGAUCUCUUGGCUCUC
rnacentral:misc_RNA from 1 species